CAACCUUCUAGUCUAGUCUGACAAGCCUCUAAAAGUCAACAACAUCAGAGAGCCAUUGGGACAUGCCCAAACUGACUCGAACACAAUAUAAAAAGUAAGCAACUCAAUGAGACAGAACUCUGAACAUCACGUCCUCAGACCAUGAGGACUCACCAUGACAGAGGGUGUAGAACAGUGUGCCCAAAGAAUUACUGUCGAGCCUGGGACUGAGCACCUGAACCUAC
rnacentral:lncRNA from 1 species